GUAUGCUUGUGCAUCAGAUCUAAAUAUCUACAGGUGCCUGGUGCUGCGGAGGACUAGACUAAGCAGUCCCUUCGGGCUUAGUCCCUGGAGGUGCCUAAUGGGGUAUUGCACCAAGGACAGGCAUGGCCUGAGAACCUAAAGUUUCACAUACCUAUUCUGAGCGAGGACAUUUACAGCCCCUGGAGACAGAUGGGAUCAACUUCAGUGUAUGAAUUGAAUAUUGCCCUAAAGACUGAGAAACUCGCAAAAAUAACAGGGCUUACUUUAUUUCUUCUCCUGAUUUUUAGGGCCAGUGUGAUGAUUUGGAGACCCGACUGCGAACCGAAACAUGACUUAAGCUGAGAGCCCGAUACCAUGUGUGAGGAGCAAUCUUCGACCUCAGUGGCCCUGCCUGUUCUUUUCUGGAGGCUGGUUUCCACCAGGAGGUGCAAGUCGGCAUUACCCACACACCAAGCGUUUGGCUCUGCUCCACGUCCUGCGUGAGAGGGACCAUUAAAGAAGAACAGAGGGUGAAAUUCCACCCAAGUCAUUUUCGUUCUUCCAGCCCCAAAUUCCCACACUGCUCUGACAAGGAGAGUCCCCCAGACAGCCAUCCCACCUUGUCCUCAUGUUGCUGCUGGCUCCUCAGGCACAUGCUGCCUUCCUGGGAGAAUGCUGCAGCUCCUUCCCAAGCCCCCACGUGCUGUGUCUGCACCUCCAGCCAGACCAUCUUGGCUAGUGUCUGACUUUGAUGAUAGCAAGCAAACUGCAUGCAUGUUGGGCAGCUGCUUUUGGGGACAGACUUCGCCUGGAUUACAGCAAAUCUCUGGAUAGCAACCUAUCGUGGUUUAGGGAUGCACGAAAACUGCUCCCUGCCUCGUGUCUUCUAACCUCCGCUGGAGAACUGACCAUCCACUACGUGCUAUACCAUGAGGUGAGACAGCUCCCUACCUCACAGCCUGCCUCCACCAGCAAGGUCAGUGCUGCGUGCCUCCCGUGUGCAGAUGGCAUUCUUACAGGAUGGGCCACAACUUAGGGUUCUUGUCUGGGAUGCUGCCUGCAGGCUGCUGAGGACAUGCCGAUGUGGUGAAGAAAGCACUGCUUCAUGAAAAAGGGAGUAUGGAAAUGAUAGGGAGUAAAGGACAACAGAAGAAGAAGGACUGACAAUUAGUGCUCAGACACAGCCACCUGAAAGGCCUGAAAGCCACCCGAAAUAAAGGCAGUGUUGCUAAUUCCAGAGAUGGGACCAGAACAAUACGCAAAUGUCUCUGGGUGCAGCAUGGAAAGAACGAGGUCUGUGGACACACCGUGCAUGCUUAGGGCCUCACUUCAGUAACCACGUGAAAGCUAAAACACUUCUGUGUCUCGGCCUGGAUAUCUCCCAUCUCAGCGCAAAGGCCUCAAACCUUCCAUUAAGCAUGAUGAAGCUUUGCAGAGUUUGUGUGCAGAGCAUGGCAGCCUGGUCUGUGCACCAAGGGAGAAAAGAGGAUUUCUCCCUCGCUGUUUUCGGUGGGGAGGGAGAAGGUGUUUAAGUGAAGAGCUGGUCAGGGAGACAAGACACCAAUGGCUUCCUAGAGUCUGGUGCGUGACAUCCCACCCAUUUUGUUACAAGUUGCCUUGGUCCCAUCUGAACUCGCUGCUUUUUCUGUCUUUCGUGCCAGCGACAGGAAUGACAUCAGAAGCACUGAGUCAUGAGCAGAUGCGCCUCAGACUCCGCCACGUUAGCCCAAACUCUGUGCCCUCUGGUCUUUUGAAACCUUCCUUCAGGAGGCCUCUGGCGCACACAUUAAAGGUCAGUUUUUCAAUGUCGUCUAGUGCCAGUCAGAAAAGACGAGAGCUUUUUAUUGGUUUUAUCAGUCUGUAUUUUAUGUUAUCAGUGGUUUCCUUUUCUGCUUGCUUGUCCUUCUCAUCCAUGCAGUUUCACUUGCUUCUAGGCUGUUUACACUCACAUCAUGUAUGUUAAGAGUUGCCACAUGAUGAUUUGAUUUAAACAAAUAAAGUAACAAGUAGCACACAGGAAAUGAGACAGAAAAAUAUUUACGAGAAGUGUAAUUUUGGAAGAACAGGACAUUUAGUGAAGUUUGUUUCAGAUGCUUUGUUUGGAGGCUCUUUUGCUUACAUGUCACAUCAUUUCGUAGGCAGAAGCGGGAAUUUCCGUGUAUGUAAUUGCAAGGUUUUUUGUAAUAAAACUACAGAAGAGGCCCAAAUGGGAGACUUUGAAAGGCCAGGAUUUCACAAGCAAAAGGUCCGUGUUGAAAAUGCCAGGUUAAUCCUCAGUGAUGUAAUGGAGAAACAAUUACCUAAGAAGAAGAGCCUUCUCUGGGUUUCUUUUGUUCUGGAUAAAAAUCUGGCUAGCUUGUUCCAGUAAGUCAUGGGUGCACAAAGCCUGCAGCUUGCCCCAGGCCCCAAUACAUCCUCGACAUCCUUGAACCUCAGCAGAGAAGCCUGGUGUUUCUGUGAUCUAGAGCUGGAUGCGAGUUCCUGCCCUUCCACACAUGGCCAGAGGGUAGGUCCUGCCUAAAUUGUUCUGGUGUUACUGUCCAUCAGCCUCAGUGGGAAGGCCAAGGGAACUAAGGGUAGCUGUAGGCAGUCAUCUCAUGCAAAUCCACAGGGUUAUCAGCCUGGCCAUGCCGUUCACCGUUCCUGCUGCUUGAAACCUGAGUCCCACUGUGCUCCCACACAACCCAUGGCAACUCUGCCACUUAGAAAUCAAAACCUCUUCCUGGCUUGGAGCAGGAGAUCUCAGAAGGAGUGAUGUCCUGAGGGACGGACCCGACAAAGCACUGGCCCUUCACUACUUCUUGCUCCUCUACCUCAUCCUUCUGUAGAUCUUCAGGUUUCUUAGGACAUCCUCAGUCCCUUUCUGUUCCCAUCAUAACAAGGUAAGUAGGAUCUCUUACAGGCUCCCCUCCUGAGAACCCUUCCAGCAGGGUUCUCCAGUCCCACCACAUCCUUUCUCUCACCACAUCUGUUGCCAUGCCCAGGAGUCACGCUCUUGCUUGCAGGAAGCCAGCUCUAGUGUGUCUGUCUUGGCAGAAAAGAAAAACCUGACAUUUUUCUGUCCCAGUCUUUACUCCCUGAGAUGCACAAACACUUCCCAAAACCAAAAUGUUUUUCUGGGACAGGAAGUUGAGACAUGGGCUGCAGUCUGGGAUCUAGACUCGAUAUGAGAGCAUCUUUCUUCUCUUCAGGUUUCCUUUUCAGAAGUGCUGCUCCUCUUUCCUCAUCCUGCCUCCUAAGACUAUAAUUUUCAUGCUUUUUGUGUGUGUGUGUGUUACAGUUUCCUUUCACAGUUCUGUUUAACACCGUGUCUCAGGCAUCAAAUGCAAUAGAAUGUUACUGACUUUUGCCAACCAAGUAUUUUCAUCACUGUCAAAACAAAACACUAAUAUUAUGGCAACAAAGCAAUCACAAUGUCAAAACAAGAAGAUCAAGUUCUUUGGGAUUCCCUUUCUGUGGGAAAUAGCCAGUUCUAGAGUUGUGCUCCUGCUUGACCAUGGGAAAUGAUGGAAAGUCACUGCUGAAUGAAAAGAGGCUCCGUGGACUUGAACCCUCCUGCUUUGCAGAUAUCUGGAGUGACUGUUAACACAAAUCAAUGAAUGUGAGUUACAUUAUCAAUGCAAAUGCAGAUCCCUUCUGGAAGGAAGGAACAUCCAAGAUCUCUCACAUGUGAAAACAAAGUGUUGUACCUAACUUUGUGUUAGCUUUAAGACAGACCACCACACAACCGAGGUGUUCCAAGCCAAAUCUGACCUCUGGCUCUGCAAGGAUUAACCUCACUGAAGAUCAUACAUGUCGUAACAGCCCAGUUAACAGCUCUCAGGUAGGAAAGCAAGUGGAAAAGUACUGCCAGGGUACAGUUCCCUCACUCCUUCAUCAAGGGCUGAUGACACAACAUAGCAUGCCUGGUAUCCUUAAUUUCUCAAGCGUCCUCUGCACUAGGGAGGGACCUCUUCGAAGUCUGUAAUAGAUGGAGCUGAUAAAGCAUGCCCACAGCGGCUACGAGGAGCUGGUAGGUCACCUGAGGCAUGGCUCAGGGUGGCAGCAUCCAGAAUUAUGUCACAUUUGGUUGAUCCAAGCUUCGCCGCCUCGAUUGCAGAAAAAAGAUAGGAUCAAAGCACCUAUAAAUAGUUUAAGUAACCCAUAGCUUUGUGCAGGAGUGUAAGGAAUACUGUUUUUUAGGUCACAAAACAAGCAAUUAUGUGCCAAGAGGAAAUUGCCCAAAUAUUUCCAGUGUGUUUUUCCUUUUCUUAAUUUCACCUCCAUGGUAUGUCAGUUCCAAAGGGUCAAUUACAUUUCCAAAAGAUAAACGUUUCCGUAAUUAUACUAGGUUCACAGUUAAACUAAAAUGUGCCUGCAAUCUGUCACUUGACUAGGGGAAAUGCCAUGGGCAUGGCUAAGGCAGGCCAGGUAAACCCUGAGCAUCUUCAUCUAAUGACUGCCUUUCGUUUCAGUUAAUUGCUCAUCUGCCUUGAGAAACACCACCGCUUUCUCAGGCUACCCAAGAGCCAAGCUUUCUGCCUCUGCUCAGUGCCUCAGUCAUUUCCUGAAGCCUGUGAAGGACCCAGUCUCUGGGGGGACAGCAGGAGACAGCACAGGAGCACGGUGAUAUCCUGAGCCAGGAGGGAAUUUCACUGGGAGAAGAAGGGAGCAUUUUAAAUAUCCAUAAUCCCAGAAAGAAGGCAGGUCAACUCAUCUGUCUGACACAAGGACUCUCACCUAACGAAGAGCGAUUCCUUUACAUUUGGGUCUCAAUUUUUAAUUCACGGGGUUUGAGAUAGUUUGGGAAAAUAAAAGGCAUGCAAUGAAGAAGAAACCUUCUGCGGGGUUCCCUGCAGGUUGGCUCCCUAAAUCACCAAGUGUCUGCAAACAACUUGGCCCAAGAUUCACUCAGAAGGUUUUUCUGGCACACCCUGCCAGUGUUCACAGGAAACAGCUGUCACAUAAGCAGCUGCAGGUCGCGUUUUCCAUCUUGUGUGCAGAAAGGGGUGUGCAAAGCGUGGCAUCUCCUUCCAACGUCAGCAUCAAGGUAGCGAGGAGGUGCUGAGCACUGAGCUGAUGUCAGGACAGCAGCCUGGCUGGCGGCACUCUGCUCUCCUGGGGUCAGAAACCCAUGGGCCAGCAGAGCAAGUGUCCUUUCCCUCUCCUUUCUGCUCUGCCCAUGUACUCAUGGGCCUGUAUCCAGCCAGAUGUGCACCUCACACACUGGCCUCACUGGAGAUGGGUCAGCCUGCUCUGAACCGAGGGACAGUAACUGGGAGAGAGGUGACAAGCAGCAGCCCACUCCGGGAAACUGUUUAUUCGUGGCACUGGCCUUGGGAGUUGUGUAAUUCUCUUCCAGCCUCUGUUGCGCCAGCCUUUUUCUUCAGUAUUUGGUUUGUUUCUAGAGAUUUCGUGUGAUUCAUGAGGCUGUUCUGCAAAAGAAAGCAAAUGCAGGAGAAGCCCACCGGUGGGGAAAGCCCUGGCCACGGAAAGGAAGCGAUUAGCAGCCGACGUUCAGAGAGAUUCAUAGGCAGCCCUUCCCUUCCAACAGGAAGUGCUCCUGCUUUGAAGUUUAUUUGGAAGGCUUUAAAAAUCCUUACUAAUUGCCUUGCACAGACCAAAUGGGAUACGAGGAACACUUUGCAAUGUAAAUAUGCUCCCUUGGUACACUGAGAAUUAGAUAACAAGACCAAGCUCAUACCUCUCAUAGGAAGCACAGCCCUGACAGCCAGCUCAGCAGAACGCGCUAGAACACACGCACAGGUUUCAACUUUGCUCUGCUCGUCACUGCCAUCGUCUCUGUCUUCAGGGGCCUUGAGGUACUGCUGUGCCUUGAUUUAGUAUGUGGUGUACGUAAUGAAAACGUGACACUUGAAAAUGAGUACGCUUAGUAUCAGUUUAAUGUUUCAUCCGUAGCAGCAGCCAAAGGCCUUUCUCCCAGAGAGCUCUGAAAUUCGCCAAUCCACCUUUGUCAUAGACAAACAAAAUAAGCUCCUGUUUCCCAGUAAAAGCAUGCUUGGAAAGUGACAGAAUUAAUUGUUUGGCCAUUGUAGAGACACAGUCCUUCCCUCUUCUGUUGCAGGGCCUAACCUGCAGCUGUUGGCGCUGCCACAUGGAGCUGGAGCUGGAGCAGAGUCUCCAGGAGGACAGGGAGGUCACGUAGUACAACAAACUGUCAUGGAGCCAGGUCCCAGAUGGGAGAACAGCCAUAAACCAGAAAAUGUUGCCUCCGAUUUUGUUGGAAGUCGGCAUCCGGCCCAGCUGAGAAGCGUGAAAGCAUCAACUCGGUCUUUGGCUCCUCCUUGACCCAAAUGGGAGCCAAGAGGCCAAGGAGCAAGCUGGUUUCCUUUUGUGGCUGCAGAACUUUUCUUAUUUGGGCUCAUCACCAGCUGAAUUUCUUGACAAGGCUUCCAGGCACAGCCAGGGACUAGCAGAAAAGUCGGACCAUUCUGCCAUUGCCUAACUGGAGAUACAGCAACGGGAGAGCCAGAAAUUGUUCAUUCCUGCAGCCACGAGCUGCAUGCUCCCUGUCAGCCCUGUGAGCUGGGAAGCACCUCUCUCACCCGCUCUGUCACGUAGCCCCAGCACCCCGGGUCAGCCAGGAGAUACAGAUCUGGCUGGGGGAGUCUCGGCAGCCCUGUGCCUCAGAUCUCACCGACAGUCAGGGCAGGGCUGAGUCUUUUUUCUUAGGGCUGUGUCUUGGGGCCCAGCUGUUAUGGGGGUCACUCUGAAGCCCCUGUAUAACACUAACCCCAGAAAGCUUGCUUUCUGAAGGAUCUUCACACACAUGUAUGCAUCAGCCCCUUAGCAGUGGCUCUUCUUGAUGGGCAUUUGUAUCUCCCUCCAGUCAAGCAGGCUGUCUAACUGGUGAUUUAUUACACUGCUGCUAGCAAAACACGUGUGGCCUGGAGCGGCUGUCAGUGACCAGACUGCCCUCUCUUUCCCCAGCAGUGAAAUUCUCAGUUUUGAGGCACGACACUCUGCAGCAAGGGUAUUCUCUGCCUUGGCCUGACCUUCACUGUUAGCCUCAGGAUCCAUGUCUGUUGCAUCACAAAAAUUUGCUCCUGCUAUGAUGUCCUCUAUCAAGAAAAGCAUCAUGAGGUUAUUGUCUUCUGAUAUAAGGAGUAGGAAGUGAUCACAUGCUUGUGCAGGCCAAGAAAAGUGCACGACUCAGGCAACCACAGGGACUUCAUUCUUGGUUGAUGCUAACCCCCCCUCUGUACUGGGGUCCUUUUCCUUGUGAAGGAAUGAGGCUGAGGUAACCUGGUCCCCCACUUCUUUAACGUGAGGAUGCUGUUUGGGCAGUUAGAGAACAGAAAAGGCUGUUUUUCUCCUCCUGUUCCUCUUCAGACUGAGGAUUUCGUCUCCAGGCCCCAUGCAUUUCUCAACCCUUUGUUAUCGUUUUAUUUUCUAGGAUGAACUUCACAGAAAUAAACAGGAUUUGAUCAUUUUUGAGCUUACCCUGACCCCCUGAGGGCUGGACCCUUCCUGAACACCCUUUUGCCUGGAACAGGUGCAUAGAAACAGACCCACGCUGCCUGCUCUGGACACUCAAAUGUUUUUAUAGAGUUGGUGCAAACAGCAACCAGAAAACAAAAAAAAACAUCUGGGAAAACGUAAGAAAUGCAUAGCUUGGACAACAGAUGUGCAAGGCACAGAUCACCUAGCAGGAUGCAGGGAGUAAAGAGCCAAUUUCCGUGCUGUUCCUACUUCACAGGCCACAUAAGUUUCCAAACUUGUCACAGGUAACAAAGCCACAAGGCUUCCUGACUCCAAUCCUUCUCUAUAGCUGCCUUUGCUUUCCACUGAAGGAGCCUACUUUUGCAAAGAACAUCACAUGCUCCACAGGACAAUUAACGGUGAUGGGGAGAGUUUCAACUGGAUAUAAGUAAGUCUAUCUUCUCAAAAUAGGUA